UACGUAGGGGGCUAGCGUUGUCCGGAAUCAUUGGGCGUAAAGCGCGUGUAGGCGGUCCGAUAAGUCCGCUCUGAAAGCCCGGGGCUCAACCCCGGGAGGCGGGCGGAUACUGUCGGGCUAGAGUCCGGAAGAGGCAAGUGGAAUUCCUGGUGUAGCGGUGGAAUGCGUAGAGAUCCGGAAGAACACCGGUGGCGAAGGCGGCCUGCUGGGCAGUGGCUGACGCUGAGGCGCGACAGCGUGGGGAGCAAACAGG
rnacentral:rRNA from 1 species